rnacentral:tRNA from 1 species
GCCCAGGUGGUGAAAUGGCAUACACGAUAGGUUUAGGACCUAUUGCCCGUAAGGGCGUGGAGGUUCAACUCCUCUCCUGGGCACCA